GACAGAGGGUGCAAACGUUGCUCGGAAUCACUGGGCGUAAAGGGCGUGUAGGCGGGAAGGAAAGUCGGGCGUGAAAUCCCUGGGCUCAACCCCAGGAACUGCACUCGAAACUUCUUUUCUUGAGUGCCGGAGAGGAAAGCGGAAUUCCUGGUGUAGAGGUAGAAAUUCGUAGAUAUCAGGAGGAACACCAGUGGCGAAGGCGGCUUUCUGGACGGUAACUGACGC
rnacentral:rRNA from 1 species